rnacentral:rRNA from 1 species
GACGAACGCUGGCGGCGUGCUUAACACAUGCAAGUCGAACGAAGUGGCGAACGGGCGAGUAACGCGUAAUCAACCUGCCCUUCAGAGGGGGACAACAGUUGAAAACGACUGCUAAUACCGCAUACUGAAGGAGGGGAUUGCGGCUGAUUAGCUAGUUGGAGGGGUAACGGCCCAACAAGGCGAUGAUCAGCAGCCGGGCUGAGAGGAUGAACGGCCACAUUGGGAAUGGGACACGGGCCAGACUCCUACGGGAGGCAGCAGUGGGGAAUCUUCCGCAAUGGACGAAAGUCUGACGGAGCAACGCCGCGUGAGUGAUGACGGCCUUCGGGUUGUAAAGCUCUGUUAAGCGGGACGCGGUACCGGAAUAGAAAGCAACGGCUAACUACGUGCCAGCAGCCGCGGUAAUUC